GCAUGAUACCCAAACAACUUGGCGAUUGCUCGAAAAUGUUGUACCUGAAGUUAAGCAACAAUGAUUUUAGUGAAGGAAUUCCUGUUGAACUUGGAAAUUUGGUGUCCCUGCAAGUUGAGCUAGAUCUUAGUAGAAACUCACUUUCUGGUGAAAUUCCAUGGCAACUUGGGAACUUGGUCAAACUGGAAAUUUUGAAUCUCUCUCACAAUAAGUUCACUGGUUCCAUUCCUUCCACAUUCGACCAAAUGCAGAGUCUGAGACUGGUUGAUCUAUCCUACAAUGGGUUGGAGGGUCCAAUUCCAGAUAACAAAGCCUUCCGAGAAGUACCAUCAGAAGCAUUUACCCAUAACAAAGGCUUGUGCGGCAACUACACAGGCUUGAAGAUUUGUCCUCCUCCUUUAAACAAUGGGAAAGGAGGGUCCAAUUCACUAGUUCUAAUUCUUGUUCCUCUUUCUGCAGCAUCAUUCAUCUGGGUUAUUUUUAUUGGUGUGUUCUGUAUCCUGAAGACAAAAAGAAGGAACAAAAUAAGCAACAAGCUUGUCGAUUCACAGCAUCAGAAUUUGUUUAAAAUCUGGAGCUAUGAUGGAAAGUUAGUCUAUGCAGAUAUUGAAGUAGCAACUGAAGGUUUCAAUUCCAAGUACUGCAUUGGAGUUGGAGGACAUGGAAGUGUCUAUAAAGCAAAGCUGUCAACAGGUCAGGUUGUAGCAGUAAAGAAGCUUCACCAAAUUCAUUAUUCCAAGCUGGAAGAUCAAAAGACUUUCGAGAGUGAGAUUCAGGCAUUGAGUAAAAUUCGACACAGAAACAUUGUGAAGCUUCAUGGUUUUUGCUUGCAUGCACGACAAUCAUUUCUGGUUUAUGAGUACUUGGAGAGGGGAAGCUUAGCUAAAAUCCUGGGCAAAGAUGAACAGGCAAAAGAGUUGGAUUGGACUAGAAGAAUUAAUGUUGUUAAAGGGAUUGUGAAUGCUCUCUUUUACAUGCAUCAUGACUGCACCCCACCAAUAGUUCAUCGGGACAUAUCAAGCAAUAACAUACUGGUGGAUGGGAAUUAUGAAGCUCGGGUUUCAGAUUUUGGCACUGCAAGACUCAUGAAGAACGAUUCAUCCAACUGGACAGGUCUAGCAGGCACAUAUGGAUACAUUGCACCAGAGCUUGCAUACACAAUGAAGGUAACUGAGAAGUGUGAUGUCUAUAGUUUCGGAGUGGUGACACUUGAAAUAAUCAUGGGGCAUUAUCCUGGUGAACUAAUAUGCUCACCUCCAUCAUUUUCAUCAACUUCAUCAUCAUCAUCAUCUUCAUCAAUAGCAUUGUCUUUGUCAGGAUUGAAUGCUCUUACUAACAUGAAGUUGAAAGAUGUAUUGGACCAGCGCCUGCAGACUCCUGAUCCUGAGUUGGCUGAUGAAAUUGUCACCAUCAUCAAACUAGCAUUCUCGUGCAUUAAUGCCAAUCCAAAAUUUAGGCCAACAAUGCAGCAGGUUUCUCAAGAGUUAUGCACAAGAAGGCUUCCUCUCCCUCAGGGAUUGCACACACUUGCAUUGAAACAAGUUUUGGAUCUUGACAUCCAAGUUGGGGAAGACUAAUUGUUCACAUAUGUGUAAUAAAUGGGUUUUGACUCAAUAAUACUAUAUAAUUGGUUGUUUUCG
rnacentral:misc_RNA from 1 species